rnacentral:rRNA from 1 species
CCGGCGCACGGGUGAGUAACACGUAUCCAACCUGCCGUCUACUCUUGGACAGCCUUCUGAAAGGAAGAUUAAUACAAGAUGGCAUCAUGAGUUCACAUGUUCACAUGAUUAAAGGUAUUCCGGUAGACGAUGGGGAUGCGUUCCAUUAGAUAGUAGGCGGGGUAACGGCCCACCUAGUCUUCGAUGGAUAGGGGUUCUGAGAGGAAGGUCCCCCACAUUGGAACUGAGACACGGUCCAAACUCCUACGGGAGGCAGCAGUGAGGAAUAUUGGUCAAUGGGCGAGAGCCUGAACCAGCCAAGUAGCGUGAAGGAUGACUGCCCUAUGGGUUGUAAACUUCUUUUAUAAAGGAAUAAAGUCGGGUAUGCAUACCCGUUUGCAUGUACUUUAUGAAUAAGGAUCGGCUAACUCCGUGCCAGCAGCCGCGGUAAUACGGAGGAUCCGAGCGUUAUCCGGAUUUAUUGGGUUUAAAGGGAGCGUAGAUGGAUGUUUAAGUCAGUUGUGAAAGUUUGCGGCUCAACCGUAAAAUUGCAGUUGAUACUGGAUAUCUUGAGUGCAGUUGAGGCAGGCGGAAUUCGUGGUGUAGCGGUGAAAUGCUUAGAUAUCACGAAGAACUCCGAUUGCGAAGGCA